UACGGGGGGAGCAAGCGUUGUUCGGAUUUACUGGGCGUAAAGGGCGUGUAGGCGGCCACCGCAAGUCGACUGUGAAAUCUCCGGGCUUAACUCGGAAAGGUCAGCCGAUACUGCGGGGCUAGAGUGCAGAAGGGGCAACUGGAAUUCUCGGUGUAGCGGUGAAAUGCGUAGAUAUCGAGAGGAACACCUGCGGCGAAGGCGGGUUGCUGGGCUGACGCUGACGCUGAAACGCGAAAGCUAGGGGAGCGAACGGG
rnacentral:rRNA from 1 species